rnacentral:rRNA from 1 species
UAGCAGCCGCGGUAAUACGUAGGGCGCAAGCGUUAUCCGGAAUUAUUGGGCGUAAAGAGCUCGUAGGCGGUUUGUCGCGUCUGCCGUGAAAGUCCGGGGCUCAACUCCGGAUCUGCGGUGGGUACGGGCAGACUAGAGUGAUGUAGGGGAGACUGGAAUUCCUGGUGUAGCGGUGAAAUGCGCAGAUAUCAGGAGGAACACCGAUGGCGAAGGCAGGUCUCUGGGCAUUAACUGACGCUGAGGAGCGAAAGCAUGGGGAGCGAACAGGAUUAGAUACCCUGGUAGUCCAUGCCGUAAACGUUGGGCACUAGGUGUGGGGGACAUUCCACGUUUUCCGCGCCGUAGCUAACGCAUUAAGUGCC